rnacentral:rRNA from 1 species
GAUGAACGCUAGCGGCAGGCCUAAUACAUGCAAGUCGGACGGGAUUGAGGAGCUUGCUUCUCAUGAGAGUGGCGCACGGGUGCGUAACACGUAUGUAACCUACCUUAGUCAGGGGGAUAGCCUCUCGAAAGAGAGAUUAACACCGCAUAACAUUAAGUUGUGGCAUCACAGUUUAAUCAAAUAUUUAUAGGACUAAGAUGGGCAUGCGGAACAUUAGCUAGGUGGUAAGGUAACGGCUUACCAAGGCAACGAUGUUUAGAGGAUAUGAGAGGAUUACCCCCCACACUGGUACUGAGACACGGACCAGACGCCUUCGGGAGGCAGCAGUAAGGAAUAUUUGUCAAUGGACGCAAGUCUGAACCAGCCAUGCCGCGUGCAGGAAGACGGCCCUACGGGUUGUAAACUGCUUUUGUACCGGAAUAAACCUUUUCACGUGUGAGAAGCUGAAUGUACGGUAAGAAUAAGGAUCGGCUAACUCCGUGCCAGCCGCCGCAGUAA